UGGUGGUGGCGGUGGGGGCUGAUGGGCACCCCGCGGCCCGCCAGGAAGCGGUCCUCCCCGCUGCAGCUGCCGGCGCUGACGGCGCAGGGCUGGAAAGUUGUAAUCCCGUGGUCGGGGUGGUAGGCGCGGGCGGCGCAGCCCCCCGCUUCGCCGCCGAGGACGGGGUACUCGAGGAAGGAGCUCAUCCUCGCCGCGUCCCUCUGUCACGCCGCCACCGGGUCUUCAGCGUCCUGCGGGGCCGCGCCAACUUUCCCACUUCCUCCAUGGGGCCGGCAGGAAAAUGACACGAAGGUACAGGCAGCGGGCAGGCACGUGGGGGGCGGCAGCCAAUGGCUGCGGCGCCUGCGGGACUUUCCCGGCUCCUGCCGCUGAUAGAUCGCCGCGUCGGGGGCAUUUAAACGCCGAGCGCUCCGACGGCGCGGCGCGGCGCGGAACCUCGGGGCAGGGCGGCGGCGGCCCCCCGGGGGGCGGCGGGGCGGGGGAGGGGGGGGGCUGUCAUCCCGCCGCCGGGGUCCCGCCUGCCGGCUGAAAGGGGAAGGCAAGGAGAGACCCUGCGGCUGCGCCCGACUCGCGGAGCCCACCGGCCGUGCCCUCCAGGGUGAGUGCUGCUGCGGCAGCGAGGGUGCCCCGGCGCCUCCCCUGAUGUCGGCGCUGUCAGGACAGCGCUGGACACCUCCGUCGCUGCCCCCCUCCGUCCCCUGUAGCCCCCUAUCUCCCGGCCGGGACGCGGGAGGGGCGGCUGGAUCCGCGGUGCAAGGGGGGGCUGGAGGGGCAGCGUUGAGACCGUCGGCCCUGGGGACAGGGAUGAGGAUGGGACCGCGGAUGUGGUUUGGGACUGCUACGGGGAUGGAGACAGGGACGGGGAUGAUCAUAAGGCGGAGAAUGGGGAUGGGGCCGACGAUGGGGAUGGGGAUGGAGAUGGGUUGGGGAUGGGGCCGAGGCAUCUCGCUGCAUCUGCCCCCGCCGCAGUCCCAGCGCGACGCGACGCCAAGAGUUAAAGGGGCUUGUCCAGCCGCAUCACCAGGAGGCCGCGGACAUUAGCAUGGAAAUGAGCCGCUUUUGGGACUGACGGCCAUUGUGCUCUCCCGGGCCCGCCGGCCUCCCCCUGGCCCGCAUCCCUGCUCCCCCCGCACCUCCGCCGGGCUCACCCGCGCCAGCCCGGGGCUGGGGUAGGGGAGGAGGAGCCAGGGGCAGGGGAUGGAUGAUGGGGGGGGGGGCCGCGGCCUCCGCAGCCCAUCUGCUGGGUCCCCGCGGCGCCGCUGCCGCCCGCCCGCCCUGGGACCGGGCGGGGGGAAGGCUGCCCGGGGUGCCGCGGGUCGCAGCCCGGCGGCCCGGGGAGGCGGCCCGGGGCAGGGGCAGAGGAGCGGCGGGAGGCGCAGGGUCCGCCGCCCCGGCCUCUUUGUCCCUGCGCUCCGCCAGCCGGGCCGGCAGUGGCGGGAGGUGGCAGAUGGCCAGUGGUAGAGGCGGCCCCAGGACCCUUGGGAACCGCGCUGAGCAUCGACUCCAACACACCCUUCCCCACCCCCACGGAAAAAAAAAAAAAAAAGGGUCCGUAGAUAGAGAAGGAGGGAGGGCGGUGGGAGGUGGGUUGCGAACUCAUAUUCGGUUUACGUAUGCGGAAAAGGAAGGAGAAGGUAAAGGCCGGGCAUCCGUCCGUCCCGGGGCACCCAGCCGUCUGCAGGGAGACAAGACGGCACCAACACGCUUCAAAGAGGCGUCCUGCGAAGCGCUAACCUCGGGGAUAGGUGGCUGGAAAGUCAUGUUCCCUGCCAAAAGCCCCAGGAGGGGCUGCCCCCUCUAUUUCUGCAGGUGCAUUUCCAGGCGGCUCCUGCGUCCCUCUGUUCUCACACUCGGUUCUUGUUUUGAAAUCCAAAAGGCUCUUCUACCAUGCCACCUCUCCCUGAUCACGAACACACACACAAACCCUCAAGCUCCUCCCUCCCACAUGAACAACAUCCUCUUCUAGGUGCAAAAGCUCUCUUACUGCUAUUAGGUCAGCCCUUAUCCCAUGCCACUUCCACGGCCCCUCUACUGCCAGCCAAAACCGAAGAGCUGCUCUCUCCACCACGCGUCUAUCUGUAUGACCUCAGUAUUUCUAUUUGUUCUGAUUUACUACUCCAGCACGGAUGGUUAAGGAGCCCUUUGGAAAGGUUCGGUUUCUUAAACUCCAGGGGGGCGGGGUGGAGGACCAGAGCAACAACACUCCAGAGGCAUUUAUGGCAUUAUACUGCACCAAUUUUGGCUACGGUUACAGCUGUAAACACAUUUAUUUCAUUCUUGUAAACCAGUUGUGAUAAAUACUGCAUAAGGCAGAGAAAAAAGGCAGGCCGCUGGGACUGUUUACUAAUAAAAGGGCUGGCAUCUUUUCAGUGCUUUUUCAGCCAGCCAAGAAAAAAAAAAAAAAAGUAUAUUUUACUAUAAAUAGAUUGGGUUUACCCCUAAAUUCCGCCGAAUCACAGCACCUCUCUUACAGUCUCCAGCAUCCUGAAAUCCUUUUUCUCUCCCUUUUUCGUGCUAUUGUCUCUUUUGUUGCAUUGCCUCCCUGGCGAGGCUUUGGGGCUUUGCUGCCUGUACUGUGCGUGGGGGCAACCUCAUGAGAAGGGCCGGAGUAGAGGGGGACACCCCCACCCUCCGGCGCGGGGGGCUGCCGCCCCUUCCCUCUGCCCGCAGGCCGACCCGGCCCCUCCGCGCCCCUCCGCGGCUCCGCUCCGCGUUUCCCGCCCGGGACUGGGGCCGAGGGGGCGAUCCCGGCGCUUUAGGCUUUUCCGUGGGAGUGUGCCCCUGCUGUGGCCCCAGGGCUCACCGGGAGACUCGGAGGCGACUCCUGCUCGCUGAAUCCCCCCUUUUAUUUUAACGAAGUUUGCGAGAAGUUUCAAUCUCGUAGCGUCUUUUCCUCUUUUUUCUUUUUUUUUAUUUUUUUAAAGCAUUGUCAGCAUCCAGAAAUCUGGGCACAAAAGUGACCCCAGUCCCUACGUGCACGUUGCAGUCCGAUUUAACCCAGUGGCAGAGGAGUUAAAAUGCCGGUAAGGCUACUCGUUUUCCGCAGGGACAGGGCUGGAGCAGAGAGAAGGACAAGAAGCAGGGCCGAGGUUUCACCGCGUCCGCAGCUCAGCCAAGCUGUUGUUUUAAAAGAGCAAUAAAAAUGAGUUAUGACUAAACGCCUUCUCACUUAAUGGUUUUAGACGGGGAUCCCCAGCCCCGGCAAAUACGUAAGAGGAUUUUUAUUUGUGCAUGUGUUCCUGCAAUUGAUCUCUUUGAUGACAUUCUCAUUCAUAGAAAGAGUUUGAUUUAUGACUUUCGGAAGAAUUGCGUUCAGCCCUUCCAGCUAUAACCCACGCGUCCCAACUCCACAACGUGUUGCAGAGCUGGGAGACAACAUUCCUCGCAUGGACGGGCAGCAGAGCCCCGGCCACAAAGCCCGCGCAAGCCCUGCUCGUCCGUGCAAUGUAACCACAGGCUCACACGCACUCACACCCAAUCACACGCACACAGGGAGACACGAUCGCACCCGCCCGGGAUCGCCCGGCCCCGGAGCGGCAGAGCCCCGCUGGCAUCUGUUGCUCGGUUUUAUCCCGAAGGACGGGGCUCACCCUCCGCUUCGGGGUCCGGCAACGCCGCUAGCCGGGUGGUGGGCAAUGUGGUGGAGAACUCUGAGAGCCCAUCUUUGCUGCCGCCAGCAGAGAGUGAGCACCCCCGAGGAAAUUGUAACUUUAAGGGCUGAUUCCUUGGACCGUUCAGCACGUGAGAAGUAACCAGGAGCAAUCUCUGUGAGCUCUGAUAUUUUUUAAGAUACGCUUCUUGAAACAGCUUGCUGGCUGCUAAGCACUACUUUCUAGAAAAACAAGAUUAUUUCCUCCCCCCCCCCAAAAAAAAAAAAAAAAAAAAAAAAAAGAGCGCCUUUCCUGUACGUAACAGGCUAGUUUCUGCAGGAGACGCUUAUCCUACCGAGUGUCUCUUAUGUUUUGCCUGUAAGGGAGAAAGUGCUCGUUCAUGCUUUUGUUACAGCUCAGCAUUUCCAAGCUUUGUAUCCUCACGGAGAUAAGAUGCUACAUUUAUACAUUAAAAGGAAGAGGUCUCCAUCAAAGCUGUGAAUGGUUUUAGUUUCUUUGGUUUGUUGUUUGGUUUGGGGUUUUUUUUCCCCUUGUGAGAGCGCUUGCAAUAAAGAUUUUGAAGGUG